GCCUGGUUAGCUCAAUCGGUAGAGCGUUUGACUCUUAAAAUCAAAAGGCUGCGGGUUCGAGCCCCGCAUCGGGCU
rnacentral:tRNA from 1 species